GUCAAGCAAUCUCGGGCUUGGUUAGUACUUGAUGGGUGACCGCUUGGGAAUACCAAGUGUGAUAAGCA
rfam:Ciona savignyi cont_40910, whole genome shotgun sequence.